GAUCAACGCUGCCCAUGCUACACAUCCAAGUCGACACAGUCUCGGAAUGGGUGGCAGCACAGAGAAUAACACGUAAAGAACUUGCAUCUUAGACCGGGACAACAUCUGGAAACGGAUGCUAAUACAGGAUCUUAUGGUUUUUUUCGCAAGCAAGGAAUCAUGAAAGUAAGAUGCACUAAGAGAGAGCUUUGCAUCACAUUAACUGGUUGGUGAGGUAACGGCACACCAAGGCAAUGAUGGGUUGCCGGCCUGAGAGGGUGAACGGCCACAAGGGGACUGAGACACGGCCCUUACUCCUACGGGAGGCAGCAGUGGGGAAUAUUGGACAAUGGACCGCAAGUCUGAUCCAGCAAUUCUGUGUGCACGAUGACGUUUUUCGGAAUGUAAAGUGCUUUCAGUCGGGAAGAAGUCAGUGACGGUACCGACAGAAGAAGCGACGGCUAAAUACGUGCCAGCAGCCGCGGUAAUACGUAUGUCGCAAGCGUUAUCCGGAUUUAUUGGGCGUAAAGCGCGUCUAGGCGGCAAGGAAAGUCUGAUGUGAAAAUGCGGAGCUCAACUCCGUAUGGCGUUGGAAACUGCCUUACUAGAGUACUGGAGAGGUAGGCGGAACUACAAGUGUAGAGGUGAAAUUCGUAGAUAUUUGUAGGAAUGCCGAUGGGGAAGCCAGCCUACUGGACAGAUACUGACGCUAAAGCGCGAAAGCGUGGGUAGCAAACAGG
rnacentral:rRNA from 1 species